GCUCUCCACGUCACUGCGGUCGUCCUUGGACACCUGAGAGGUGGCCAGUGGGAAUUGGGUGGCGGGAGAGGAGAAGGGGAGUUGGAAAAUGCACAGAAAACAGCAGUUAGAAGGUUGCGUCCACAUGAUGGACCAGCUUCAAGUCACAUCUACCUCCCACACUUGAGCCUGGAGCAGUUCAAGCUCCCAAGGAGGAUCCUGUCAUGGCAUUAGGAACAAGACACACACUGCAAAUGACAAUCUGGGGAGGGAGGAGCAGUUUUCUCCUGUCCUCUCCCCCCCACAAGGAGCCAAGACAGAAAUCAGAGUGUGUAGAACCAGAGAGUGAAGGUCAUGCAGGCAGGUGACAGCAGGAGCAGGGAGAGAAGGAGAAGGCACCAAAGCCCCAAGACCAGAGCUCUGCUUUUGUCCUGGCCUGGACACAGCCGUGUUUGAGUGAACAAAGAGAACCACAGGUCACACUUACAUGCAAAGGGUGGAACUGUCCAGCUCCAAUCUGGCACAGAGAAAAGGAGAAAAGAAUGAAGAAGACAGAGCUUAGAGUCCUUUCUCUGGCUAGGUCACCUGGACAGGAGAGAACCAAGGAAAGGGAAAAAGGUGUAGAACUCAGGAUACAGAAACAGCUCCAGAGGCAGAAAAAUCAGGCAUUUGCAGCAGCAGCUGUGGGGAACAGAUGGGAGAGCUCAGACUCCCCAAACCUGCCUUCCCCCACAGUCCCUGCCACAGGCAACCACGACAGAAACAUUUCUGGAAGUCAACAAUCCCCGUGUGGGGGCAGCUGAAGUCAAAACCACAAAAUAACGUAGAGCCACGAGGGGAAACUCGGCUCAGAACACCAAAAUCUGACUGGAAAAAGCAUCUGUCCUCCUAAAUCAGCUUCUGCUCUUUCACAGAAUCACAGAAUGGUUUGGGUUGGAACAGACCUGAAGGAUCACACCCAGUUCCAACCCUCAGACACCUUCCACUGAGGUGCUCCAAGGCCCAUCCAACCUUGGGCCCUGAACUGGAUGAUCUUAAAGUCCAACCCAGAGAACCAUCCUGUGGUUCUCUGACAACCAGCAAACCCCCCUGCAUUCCUGAGAGUCCCUUCCCUCCACGCUGGAGCUCAGUGUCUGUGCUGACAGGUGAAGGUGCCCAGCCCUCAGCACAUCCCCAGCUGAAGUUGUUGGAAAACAUCCCGUGUGUUCAUCCUGUAGUUCAAAAAAGAGCCUGUCACCACCCUAAACUCCAAAGCACCUAACAAUUCUGCCACCACCACUACUGUUAAAAAACAUCUGAGCGUGCUGGAAAAGGGAUUUAUUUCCCUGCAUGCCCAGAACACAGGAAGCCUCCUGAGCAACACCUGGGAACUGCAGAGGUAAAAAAAAAAAUCACACACCAAGGGAAAAAAAAAAAAUCACUCUCCUUGCAGAACUCCUGAUGCAGGUCCCUCGAGAACCAGCACCAGCCCCCACCAAAGGGCCCCAAUUUCUCAGGAUUCCUUAUCAGGGCUUGUAGGAAAGAGGACCCCCCAGGGCACCCCCAGCCUUGCCUUGCCCCUUAUCAGGGUUUGUAGGACAGAGGACCCCCAAGGGCACCCCCAGCCUUACCUUGCCCCUUAUCAGGGCUUGUAGGAAAGGGCACCCCCAGCCUUACCUUGCCCCUUUAUCAGGGCUUGUAGGACAGAGG